CCUUCAUAGGAGUGCUAGCUUGCGUCAAAGGGUCUAGAUGGCUGAUCCAAGCUCUUCUCUUUGGAUCUCCCAAACUCCUCUAGAUCAGAAGAUAAAGCUUUAUAAGGAGGUGGUGGUAUGGAAGAUUGAACAAAGCUCACUCUUAUAUUUUUCUUCUUACAAAAUCUAAAGUUGAAACCCUAGACCUUACACCUCACGCC
rnacentral:lncRNA from 1 species